GACGAACGCUGGCGGCGUGCUUAACACAUGCAAGUCGAACGGAAAGGCCCUGCUUUUGUGGGGUGCUCGAGUGGCGAACGGGUGAGUAACACGUGAGUAACCUGCCCUUGACUUUGGGAUAACUUCAGGAAACUGGGGCUACUACCGGAUAGGAGCUCCUGCUGCAUGGUGGUGGUUGGAAAGUUUCGGCGGUUGGGGAUGGACUCGCGGCUUAUCAGCUUGUUGGUGGGGUAGUGGCUUACCAAGUCUUUGACGGGUAGCCGGCCUGAGAGGGUGACCGGCCACAUUGGGACUGAGAUACGGCCCAGACUCCUACGGGAGGCAGCAGUGGGGAAUAUGGCACAAUGGGCGGAAGCCUGAUGCAGCAACGCCGCGUGCGGGAUGACGGCCUUCGGUUUGUAAACCGCUUUCGCCUGUGACGAAGCGGGAGUGACGGUAAUGGGUAAAGAAGCACCGGCUAACUACGUG
rnacentral:rRNA from 1 species